CCUCCCCAGCCUUUCCUUUUCAGACAGCGAGCAGGAAUGAUGGAGAGGAAUCAGGCUUCUGGGAUAAGCUGCUUCUAAACUGUUUACUUUCAAGGCACCAGGCUCUUUAGCUGUGAGAGUCCUUAAGCUCCACCUGUUCAUCUUAGCCAGCUGUUUAACUCGACAAGCAACAUGAAAACUGCUUGGAGAAAGAUGCUUGAGGCCUCUCUGAUCUUCUGACAUCUGUGACUAGCUGUCACUGAAGAACCAUGCGUGAUGGAACCUGAAAGCUAUGCAGAAUACAGAAUUGCAGAAUACAGAAUUAAAGAAUACAGCUCCUGAGCUCAUACCCCACAGCGUAUGUAUUUCCUCUGCCUAUGGAUGCUACUGCUACCAAGCACACAUCUUCUUUCGUAACACCAGGCACUUUUCUGGAAAUAAAAUUCACAAAGCAAUCCGACACAUUUUCAUCCAGGAGUGUAAACCAAGACUGAAUUUCCAAGGCCUGGACAUCUUCUCUUACUUUCAU
rnacentral:lncRNA from 1 species